GUCCUUAAUAAUGGAGGAUGAUUCUUAGCCCUGGACAACACCGUGCUCUGCUAUAAUCCAGAAGGCCCAAAGUAUCAAAUGAUUCCCAAGUUAACAACUGCAUUUCCAAACAACGCUGAAGAAUAUUUAUAAAAAUUCAAAAAUAUCCACCACCCACUAAGGUAAAAUCCCCAAAUCUGUCCCCAAACACAGAUUAUCAGGUAUAACUACAAAGUGCACUUCAAAGAAGUUUAUUUUUAAGAAAUAAUUUGCAUGAUAGAAAAAAUUGAGUGAAUCUAAAACAAGCAAACAGCCAGUCCUGGACUUCAUUUCUUUCAGCUCAACAAUACCCUUUUGGAAGAUUUUAGGACUUUUAGGGAAUAAGCAGGAAAAGGAAAAGAUUCGGGGUUACUAAGGUGACUGGAAACAAAAUUUUCCCACUAACUAUUAUGAUCAUUAAGCAGCCAGCAUGGGUUUACAUAAUCAAUAAUCCCAGAGGCCUUUAUGUCUUUUGUUUUUCUUUUGCCUUUAAACACAUUUGUCGAUAAGCCUAUCACGGGAACACAGCGCCGGUGGCGAGAGGCAUGAAUCACUGGAUGUGAUCACCACCCGACACAUUGCAUCCGGGCACAGAUACACGGCAUUGUAGAAUCUCUCUUUUCCAGCCUAUAGUGUGUUUGCUGUGUUAUUUAAGAAUAUCCAGUUCUGAAGAAAGAAAACCACAUAAGAUGGGUAGAGCUCAUAAGAAGGGUUCAGUAUGAAUACAAAAUAAAUGAGUAGCUCACGCAAGAGAAACUCUCCAUCUGUUAAAUAUAGAUGAAUGAGCAGAGAGCCCAAGAAACAUAGAAUUCCUAAGAUGUGCUCAGCAUUAGGUGAUAAGUAAAUUGGCAACCUGUGAAAUAUGCCGUACGUUCAAAGGGACAGGGCAACAGGGGCGUUCCUUUUGGCAGAAGGGAGGGGAAGACCUGUCAUAAAGUACGGACCAUGCUACCUUGAGGCCGAUAGUCGCAUCAUCUGUAGGUUGUCCGUCUUUCAGCAUCUCGGCAUCAUCCUUCACGGCCGUACAUACAGUCUGGCCAGAAACGCAGAUAAUCCCACAGCUGUUUAGCAGACGAACUGGCCAGGGGUUCCUGCCCCGCGUCUUCCCAAGGAGGCAGGUGGUCCCGGUCACCUUCUUUCUGCUGCCCUCACCCCCCGUGUCCAACCUCAGUCUGGCCCUCCUACCCACAACACAGGCAGAGAGAGGGGUACCUGCCUUCAUCUGCCUUCCACACCACUUGCUCCCUGUCCUGAAAGUGGUGACCCACCCCAUCUGGGUCCCCCUGCCUCCCAUUCUGUGUUUUGAAUAGAUCCAAUAAAUCAUGUGAUUUGAGCUAUUAAUUUGGUCCAUGACCCUUUCUAUCCCAUGACCUGAAAAUCUCCCCCCAGGAGUGAACGUAGAGGCUGACAUUCCUUACAACACAGCCCAAUUUGGGGGAUAGUUAAGGCAGUUUUAGGUCCACUGGAUCAUUUUUAACAUAUUUAAGGUACAAAUAAAACUUCUUCCUGCAUUUCUAAAUCAAGUCAGUGUUCAUCCAAGCAAGUCCCUUCAUCACACACCCUGCCAGGUAACAUGAGUGCUUAUGCGGCUACAGAGCAGGAAAACCACGGGUUUUUUAAGUGGAGGGGCAGGAGAGGAGGAAGGGGGGUUUGGAGGGUGUGUCACACCCCUCGGGAUUCCCUCCCAUUCAUUUGUUGAUUCAAUGAACACCUGCAGGCGCUGCACCAUGUUCCACCCACUGCGGCGGGGUGAGAGUGAUAGCUGGGCACGGGGCCCACUCAGGGAACAUGCCCCCUCCAGGAGGCCCCAGGCGUGAGACCCGAACAAAUUGAAGGAUCCCUCUCAAGAUGCUGAAACAGGGAGAUGGGAAGAGGUAUCAAAGCGCCUGCCGCAGAGGACUGGCUGCUAGAGAUGCUUAUAAGAAGAACAGAGAUGGAGGCUGUUCACAGGCUGACAGAGACCAGCACUAGCGGCAAAGCAUCUGCUUUGGAUAUGUAGUUAGAAGAAGCCCCCCCCCCACCUCCCCACAGGGGGGAAGGGGUGCAGCUGAAUGAAGAUUAUUAUACCUGCAAGGGGUCGAAGUCUGGGGACCUGGAGCUUAUGGUAUCAUGACAGAUUACAGAAUCGCUCCACUAUGUUGGUCUGUCUGUUUCCAAGCACCUAGCAGGGGAGCUAGCUGGGCACUGGAUGCUUUGAAACAAGACCCAUCGGUUUUCUCCCUAAGGCCUAAUGACAGGUCAGCUGUUGUUGACACCGGCCCACAGCUCACAGGUCAGAGCCUUCCUGACCUCUGCCUCGCGAUGCCACGUUCUCCUCCGAGAGGCGCCCUGUGCCUCAGGCCAUAAUCCACCCCAGAAAAGAGCUGCCAUGGGUUUGGAGCUCACAGUAGCCCCAUGGCCCCCGGGCACCCUCUGGUUCCGGCUCUCUCCCUCUCCUGUCCUUCCCCCUCUCCCUCUCUCCCUUCCGUUGUUGCCCAUCCUCACCCUCCUCUUCUCCGGCGGGCGUACGCCUUCCUAGAAAACAUAUUUGGAGAGGAGAGUAACCAGAUAGACACCUGACUCCUCCAAACACCUUCGUUUUGAAGUCAGUUGACACAAGGACCUAUAAACCCGUUUCAAACUCAAGAGGUCGGAAGAAACUUGAAAAGGGGAGGGUGGUCGGUGAUGAGCCUGGGAGAGGCAAGCAGGGUCACUUUGCAAGAACCACGGCAGCCAAACAAAGGGAGGACUUUGGCCACUGGCUCGGAGGGCUCUCCCUGAGUGCUGGGGGUGCUUCCCGUGGGUGCACGUGGGCUCCCCUCCAGGGCACCAGGCGGGCUCUCUGGAUCUCCAUGAACCCCAUCACGCCGCGGCCAGUCACAGUCAGGUCAGUCUCUGCCCCACCGGGCACGUGUCCUGGGUCCUCAAGCUGCCCUUACACGCUGCACUGGAAGCAGCCCUCCCUGGGAACAUUUUUAUCAAGUGGAAUCUAACUGAUGUUUCAUGUUUCUCUCAACUUUACCUGUUAUGGUGCAUCUGAAGAAAGAGACGCUUGAAUGGUACCUUUCCAACAUCUGAGAAUGUAAAAGAAAGUAGUUGGCCAAAUCCAUGGAAAGAACGUGAAGAAAUGAGGCAGGCAUGUGGGAGAGUUCUAAGCCGCUUGAAUUCAUCCAGGGCUGAGGGUCUCCACUGCCCAGCGAGUGUGACUGGGGAGCUGUGCACUUAAGAAAUGCUGAGCAGCUACAGGUAACUGGAGACACAGAUCAGAAACCCAAUGAUAAUUUAUACUCCCAAGUAUUUUCAUUUCCUAAUUUAUUGGGAGUUUUUGUUCAUUCUAUCACAUGGGUUUAUUCAGGAAAUUAAUCUUUUGAAAGCACAAAUGCAUGGGUGAUACUGUUAUUUUUUUCCAAAUAAGACAAAAAGAAACACGUUUCCUGUGAGCACCGGAGUCUGCCUUCUCCUCGCUGUUACCUUGGGGGAGCGAAGCGGCGUCACACAGGAGGAAGAGUUUGGAGCCACGAGUCAGGCUUGCCUUCCACCUGCUGUGGCAACUCCUCCAGCUCUCAGAGCCUCGGCUUUCCCUGCAGGGGACUUUCAACCAGACACUGGAGAGACUCUGCGUCCCUUAUCGCUUGAAGAGAAUGAUUUUAGAAAGCAAGGACAUGUUAUCAGUAGAGGAAUGGAUAAAGAAGAUGUGGUACAUAUACACAAUGGAAUAUUACUCAGCCAUAAGAAAAAAACAGAUUCUACCAUUUGCAACAACAUGGAUGGAGCU